rnacentral:tRNA from 1 species
GCCCGGGUGGUGAAAUUGGUAAACACAGCGGACUUAAAAUCCGCCGCCGCAAGGCCUGACGGUUCGAGUCCGUUCCCGGGCACCA